rnacentral:rRNA from 1 species
GUGGAUUAGAUACCCUGGUAGUCCACGCCCUAAACGAUGUCAACUGGUUGUCGGGGAAGUUAUUCCUUGGUAACGAAGCUAACGCGUGAAGUUGACCGCCUGGGGAGUACGGCCGCAAGGUUAAAACUCAAAGGAAUUGACGGGGACCCGCACAAGCGGUGGAUUAUGUGGAUUAAUUCGAUGCAACGCGAAAAACCUUACCUACCCUUGACAUGUACGGAACCUCGCAGAGAUGUGAGGGUGCCCGAAAGGGAGCCGUAACACAGGUGCUGCACGGCUGUCGCCAGCU